rnacentral:lncRNA from 1 species
GAGAGAUAAGAGAACAGUGCUGCCGCAGGACGUGCGUGCUGGCAGGCCUGGAGAGGAAGACCCAAGAAAGAGUGUCCACCAAGCUGGAGCCCAAUGGAUGAGCAGGCGUCAGCCAGUGAAGGUGCUGUACCGAGAGCAUUCCCCGGCGCUUGCUCUUAGCUAGGCCCAGCUGAACGCAGCUCGCGGUGUGUGGGAAGACGGAGGAUGAGAUUCCCAGCCGCAGGAUCAAAUCAGCAAGGGCCUCUUGGGCUGGGUGGAGAGGGUGGGACUUUUUCCCUGAGGGCAAUGGCCAGCCGGAGAAUUCCCAGGCCCUGGUAGAAUUCCAGAGCCUAGGGAAGGAGAGCACACGGAGUCCAGCUUCCCGUUCUCGCAGAAGUGGAGACUGGAGCCCAGAGAGGCUGUGAGAGCUGGCAGGCCCACACAGCGGGCUCGUGGCAGAGCCCAGGUGUCCUGACUUGGACAGCAGGGUUCCCCCACCGCGCCCACUGCCUCUAUUAUCUGCUAAGACCUACUUUUAGACCCAGGCAGGCACCUGCAAACAUCCCAACACCUCCACACGGCGGCGGAGGACAAAGAACGUGGGCCGACCGGGCUCCCUGGAGGGAGGCACAGCCCAGAUUCCCGGGGCAGCCAUCCUCCUCCUCUCUCCAGACUGGGGUGCCGGCUGUCUGCACCCCCCAACUCCUCCACACAUCCUUUCUGAGGCCCUGGUAAGUUUCCAUUUUGGCCCCGGCUGUCUGACUCAGGCUUGACCCAUCCUGUGGGACGUCGGCUGCAGAAAGUUGUAACCUUCCCUCUCCUACUGCUGAGCUUGGCCAUGCAUCUCAGUGCCCUGAGCCACGUCGUCCCCUCCUCUCCCUGGCAGGAUGAUCAGACAUGGCAAAGAACCCCUGGCUGCCCAGCCACUGGAACAAAAUAGAUGACCGCAGGGUGGGUCUCCCCAGAGACCACAUUCCCAGGGAGCCCUGGGCUGCAGACCAGAGACAAUAAGCCCAGUGGCUGUUUCCGAUUGAGGGCCUACUAUGUGCCAGGUUCUAAUGCAGCCAGUAUUACUG